rnacentral:rRNA from 1 species
CAGUAGCCGCGGGAAUACGGAGGGUGCAAGCGUUAAUCGGAAUUACUGGGCGUAAAGCGCACGCAGGCGGUCUGUCAAGUCAGAUGUGAAAUCCCUGAGCUUAACUUAGGAAUUGCAUUCGAUACUGGGAAGCUAGAGUAUGGGAGAGGAUGGUAGAAUUCCAGGUGUAGCGGUGAAAUGCGUAGAGAUCUGGAGGAAUACCGAUGGCGAAGGCAGCCAUCUGGCCUAAUACUGACGCUGAGGUACGAAAGCAUGGGGAGCAAACAGGAUUAGAUACCCCGGUAGUCCCUGUCUCUUAUAU